rnacentral:rRNA from 1 species
AUUGAACGCUGGCGGCAUGCUUUACACAUGCAAGUCGAACGGUAACAGGCCGCAAGGUGCUGACGAGUGGCGAACGGGUGAGUAAUGCAUCGGAACGUGCCCAGUCGUGGGGGAUAACGCAGCGAAAGCUGUGCUAAUACCGCAUACGCUCUAUGGAUGAAAGCGGGGGACCGUAAGGCCUCGCGCGAUUGGAGCGGCCGAUGUCAGAUUAGGUAGUUGGUGGGGUAAAGGCCUACCAAGCCAACGAUCUGUAGCUGGUCUGAGAGGACGACCAGCCACACGGGGACUGAGACACGGCCCAGACUCCUACGGGAGGCAGCAGUGGGGAAUUUUGGACAAUGGGCGCAAGCCUGAUCCAGCAAUGCCGCGUGAAGGAAGAAGGCCUUCGGGUUGUAAACUGCUUUUGUACGGAACGAAACGGUCUGGGUUAAUACCCUGGGCUAAUGACGGUACCGUAAGAAUAAGCACCGACUAACUACGUGCCAGCAGCCGCCGUAAAAC